UCUGCUUGAUUUAAACGCAGCCUUUGUCUUGUACCUAUAACCAUACAUUUCGUCUUAUCCGAAUUUAUGAACAUGCUAUUUUCAUGACACCAUUUUUCAACACAUUGGAGAUCAUCUUGUACUUUUAAUUGCAUAUCACCAAUAGUCUUUCCUGAUGUAUGCAUAGUUGUGUCAUCAGCAUACAAGUCUGUAUGGCAGUUUUUGAUGUGUAAUGGAAGGUCAUUUAUGAACAAAACAAACAAAAUGGGACCAAGUAUUGAGCCCUGUGGAACACCAAAAUUUA
rnacentral:lncRNA from 1 species